rnacentral:rRNA from 1 species
GGGUUGUGAGGUUAAGCGACUAAGCGUACACGGUGGAUGCCCUGGCAGUCAGAGGCGAUGAAGGGCGUGCUAAUCUGCGAUAAGCGCCGGUAAGGUGAUAUGAACCGUUAUAACCGGCGAUACCCGAAUGGGGAAACCCAGUGUGAUUCGUCACACUAUCAUUAACUGAAUCCAUAGGUUAAUGAGGCGAACCGGGGGAACUGAAACAUCUAAGUACCCCGAGGAAAAGAAAUCAACCGAGAUUCCCCCAGUAGCGGCGAGCGAACGGGGAGGAGCCCAGAGCCUGAAUCAGCAUGUGUGUUAGUGGAAGCGUCUGGAAAGGCGCGCGAUACAGGGUGACAGCCCCGUACACAAAAGCGCAUGUGCUGUGAGCUCGAUGAGUAGGGCGGGACACGUGGUAUCCUGUCUGAAUAUGGGGGGACCAUCCUCCAAGGCUAAAUACUCCUGACUGACCGAUAGUGAACCAGUACCGUGAGGGAAAGGCGAAAAGAACCCCGGCGAGGGGAGUGAAAAAGAACCUGAAACCGUGUACGUACAAGCAGUGGGAGCACAGGUUUACCUGUGUGACUGCGUACCUUUUGUAUAAUGGGUCAGCGACUUAUAUUCUGUAGCAAGGUUAACCGAAUAGGGGAGCCGGAGGGAAACCGAGUCUUAAUUGGGCGUUAAGUUGCAGGGUAUAGACCCGAAACCCGGUGAUCUAGCCAUGGGCAGGUUGAAGGUUGGGUAACACUAACUGGAGGACCGAACCGACUAAUGUUGAAAAAUUAGCGGAUGACCUGUGGCUGGGGGUGAAAGGCCAAUCAAACCGGGAGAUAGCUGGUUCUCCCCGAAAGCUAUUUAGGUAGCGCCUCGUGAAUUCAUCUCCGGGGGUAGAGCACUGUUUCGGCUAGGGGGCCAUCCCGGCUUACCAACCCGAUGCAAACUGCGAAUACCGGAGAAUGUUAUCACGGGAGACACACGGCGGGUGCUAACGUCCGUCGUGAAGAGGGAAACAACCCAGACCGCCAGCUAAGGUCCCAAAGUCAUGGUUAAGUGGGAAACGAUGUGGGAAGGCCCAGACAGCCAGGAUGUUGGCUUAGAAGCAGCCAUCAUUUAAAGAAAGCGUAAUAGCUCACUGGUCGAGUCGGCCUGCGCGGAAGAUGUAACGGGGCUAAACCAUGCACCGAAGCUGCGGCAGCGACGCUGAUGCGUUGUUGGGUAGGGGAGCGUUCUGUAAGCCUGCGAAGGUGGCCUGUGAGGGUUGCUGGAGGUAUCAGAAGUGCGAAUGCUGACAUAAGUAACGAUAAAGCGGGUGAAAAGCCCGCUCGCCGGAAGACCAAGGGUUCCUGUCCAACGUUAAUCGGGGCAGGGUGAGUCGACCCCUAAGGCGAGGCCGAAAGGCGUAGUCGAUGGGAAACGGGUUAAUAUUCCCGUACUUGGUGUUACUGCGAAGGGGGGACGGAGAAGGCUAUGUUGGCCGGGCGACGGUUGUCCCGGUUUAAGCGUGUAGGUGUGUGUUCCAGGUAAAUCCGGUUCACUUUAACACUGAGGCGUGAUGACGAGGCACUACGGUGCUGAAGCAACAAAUGCCCUGCUUCCAGGAAAAGCCUCUAAGCAUCAGGUAACAUCAAAUCGUACCCCAAACCGACACAGGUGGUCAGGUAGAGAAUACCAAGGCGCUUGAGAGAACUCGGGUGAAGGAACUAGGCAAAAUGGUGCCGUAACUUCGGGAGAAGGCACGCUGACACGUAGGUGAAGUGAUUUACUCAUGGAGCUGAAGUCAGUCGAAGAUACCAGCUGGCUGCAACUGUUUAUUAAAAACACAGCACUGUGCAAACACGAAAGUGGACGUAUACGGUGUGACGCCUGCCCGGUGCCGGAAGGUUAAUUGAUGGGGUCAGCGCAAGCGAAGCUCCUGAUCGAAGCCCCGGUAAACGGCGGCCGUAACUAUAACGGUCCUAAGGUAGCGAAAUUCCUUGUCGGGUAAGUUCCGACCUGCACGAAUGGCGUAAUGAUGGCCAGGCUGUCUCCACCCGAGACUCAGUGAAAUUGAACUCGCUGUGAAGAUGCAGUGUACCCGCGGCAAGACGGAAAGACCCCGUGAACCUUUACUAUAGCUUGACACUGAACAUUGAGCCUUGAUGUGUAGGAUAGGUGGGAGGCUUUGAAGUGUGGACGCCAGUCUGCAUGGAGCCGACCUUGAAAUACCACCCUUUAAUGUUUGAUGUUCUAACGUGGACCCGUGAUCCGGGUUGCGGACAGUGUCUGGUGGGUAGUUUGACUGGGGCGGUCUCCUCCUAAAGAGUAACGGAGGAGCACGAAGGUUGGCUAAUCCUGGUCGGACAUCAGGAGGUUAGUGCAAUGGCAUAAGCCAGCUUGACUGCGAGCGUGACGGCGCGAGCAGGUGCGAAAGCAGGUCAUAGUGAUCCGGUGGUUCUGAAUGGAAGGGCCAUCGCUCAACGGAUAAAAGGUACUCCGGGGAUAACAGGCUGAUACCGCCCAAGAGUUCAUAUCGACGGCGGUGUUUGGCACCUCGAUGUCGGCUCAUCACAUCCUGGGGCUGAAGUAGGUCCCAAGGGUAUGGCUGUUCGCCAUUUAAAGUGGUACGCGAGCUGGGUUUAGAACGUCGUGAGACAGUUCGGUCCCUAUCUGCCGUGGGCGCUGGAGAACUGAGGGGGGCUGCUCCUAGUACGAGAGGACCGGAGUGGACGCAUCACUGGUGUUCGGGUUGUCAUGCCAAUGGCACUGCCCGGUAGCUAAAUGCGGAAGAGAUAAGUGCUGAAAGCAUCUAAGCACGAAACUUGCCCCGAGAUGAGUUCUCCCUGAGACUUAGAGUCUCCUGAAGGAACGUUGAAGACGACGACGUUGAUAGGCCGGGUGUGUAAGCGCAGCGAUGCGUUGAGCUAACCGGUACUAAUGAACCGUGAGGCUUAACCUUACAACGCCGAAG